UAAGGGGGUUAUACUUGGGGUGCUCCACCUGAUCCCAUUCCGAACUCAGAAGUGAAAUCCUUAAAGGCCGAUGGUACCCCGAUGAACUUCGGGGAAGAGUAGGUGACCCUCCUAC
rnacentral:rRNA from 1 species